rnacentral:rRNA from 1 species
GAUGAACGCUAGCUACAGGCUUAACACAUGCAAGUCGAGGGGAAACGAUAGAGAAAGCUUGCUUUUUCUAGGCGUCGACCGGCGCACGGGUGAGUAACGCGUAUCCAACCAGCCCAUCACUUGGGGAUAACCUUGCGAAAGUAAGACUAAUAACUAAUGAUAUCUCUAGAAGACAUCUGAAGGAGAUUAAAGAAUUAUCGGUUAUGGAUGGGGAUGGGUCUGAUUAGCGUGUGGGCGGGGUCACGGCCCACCAAGGCGACGAUCAGUAGGGGUUCUGAGAGGAAGGUCCCCCACAUUGGAACUGAGACACGGUCCAAACUCCUACGGGAGGAAGCAGUGAGGAAUAUUGGUCAAUGGACGAGAGUCUGAACCAGCCAAGUAGCGUGCAGGAUGACGGCCCUAUGGGUUGUAAACUGCUUUUAUAAGGGAAUAAAGUGAGUCUCGUGAGACUUUUUGCAUGUACCUUAUGAAUAAGGACCGGCUAAUUCCGUGCCAGCCGCCGCCGUAA